AGAAUCAACGCUGGCGGCGUGCCUAACACAUGCAAGUCGAACGAGAAAGUGGAGCAAUCCAUGAGUACAGUGGCGCACGGGUGAGUAACACGUGACUAACCUACCCUCGAGUGGGGAAUAACCUCGGGAAACCGGGCUAAUACCGCAUAACAUCCACGGAUCAAAAUGCGUAAGCAGCUUGAGGAGGGGGUCGCGGCUGAUUAGCUAGUUGGCGGGUAAUGGCCCACCAAGGCAGUGAUCAGUA
rnacentral:rRNA from 1 species